rnacentral:rRNA from 1 species
AGUGAACGCUGGCGGUAGGCCUAACACAUGCAAGUCGAACGGCAGCACAGUAAGAGCUUGCUCUUACGGGUGGCGAGUGGCGGACGGGUGAGGAAUACAUCGGAAUCUACUUUUUCGUGGGGGAUAACGUAGGGAAACUUACGCUAAUACCGCAUACGACCUACGGGUGAAAGCAGGGGAUCUUCAGACCUUGCGCGAUUGAAUGAGCCGAUGUCGGAUUAGCUAGUUGGCGGGGUAAAGGCCCACCAAGGCGACGAUCCGUAGCUGGUCUGAGAGGAUGAUCAGCCACACUGGAACUGAGACACGGUCCAGACUCCUACGGGAGGCAGCAGUGGGGAAUAUUGGACCAUGGGCGCAAGCCUGAUCCAGCCAUACCGCGUGGGUGAAGAAGGCCUUCGGGUUGUAAAGCCCUUUUGUUGGGAAAGAAAAGCAGCAGGUUAAUACCCCGCUGUUCUGACGGUACCCAAAGAAUAAGCACCGGCUAACUUCGUG